GGAACCGUGGCAGAGAGGUCUAUCGCGCCAAUCUCCAAAAUUGGAAGAUCUUCAUAGGGUCUCAGGAGUUCGAAUCUCCUCGGUUCCG
rnacentral:tRNA from 1 species